CGUUUAGUUUGAACUUUCCAGCUCCAGUCCCAGCAAAUACACACUCACGCACACACACGCGCGCGCAAGGAGAACCUCUCAGAGGCGAGCCAACAGGCACCGGGGGCUCUCUGGCCGCGUCUUUCUCUCUCCCUCGCUCUUAUUGGCGCGGAGGUGCAGUCCAGCCCCGGUUCGGCCCCGAGCGCCGCGGCUGGGCGGACUUCACCCUUAUAGGAAAUGAAGUGGGUGUCUCCAGACCACAGUCUCCGGGCGCAGCUGGGAAGCCUACGUGACAGUCUACCUGGGUCCCAAACCUGCGGGCGAGAUGACCUUAAAACCUGCCGCCCUCCCCCACCGCAUUCAACCUGAAAGCUCGGCUGGCAGAAGAGCCCAGUUCUGAUUCAAUGAAAUCGUUCUUCCACUUGCAUCUUCCCGACCCUACUUCGGAGCAGUUUCUCCAAACCCCUUCCAGGCUUCCCAUUAGGGAAUACAAUCGUCCAUUGAUACCCCCUCUCCUCACCCUCCCUCCAU
rnacentral:lncRNA from 1 species